GGGACAGCAGGGGUAUGGGAAGGUUAGGGGGGCAGAGGCUUAAUAUGGAAGGAGGAAACCCCUCAGUAGGCAGCUGGACAUAGCAAGGCCAAGGGAAGGGGCAUGCCAAUUGGCUGCCCUCCCCCAGUCACCUGCUGAAGUUUAGCUAUAAGAGGAAAAGGCAGAAAGAGAAGCCGGAUACCCUCUGCCAAACUAUUCCCAAGGCAAGAGGAGUCUAAGCCUUGGGACCAGGAGGGACAGUGGAAGGCUAGAAAGAAUAGCAGGGAUAAGCCCUGACCUCUGGCCAUCUUGUCUCACCAGAGACCCUGCAGGGCUGUUGUACAAUUCUAGGGGGCACCUUUCACAUGGUGUGGGGGAUGCUUCUGUGAUGACUAGGAGAUGAGAAGGCAUGGACACAGCUUGCCGAGUUUCUAUAGCGCUGGGCCAGGAGCCAAGACUUGCUUCUCUUCUGCCACCUCAGACGACACCUGCCAGGAAAGAGGAACGGGGUGCCCGUGUACCAGGGCAGGAUGAGGCGCCCAGGCCUGACAGAGAGACCUCUGUCUCCCCAGUGCCUCUCAAACAGCAAGGUGAGCUACCCAGGGGCUUUGGGGAGGGGCAGUGUCGAUGCUCCUCACCACCAAAGCCCCUCUGAUCGGCAUGUCCCACUCCACCCCACCUCAAUGUCAAAAGGCCAAGUCCUGGCUUCUUAAACCCCUGGGGUUUCACCUGUGGCCAGGAUGAGGGGAGUUCCAGGAUCAAGAACAGAAAGCCACCACCACCACCAUCCCCAUCCUCUAGUUAUCUGACCCUAAGCGGCUCACUUGCAGGCUGCUGGCUGGACCAGGUCAGGUAGUGUUCCACUCGUGCACCAUCAGCCGGGGCUACCAUUGAGCCCUCUCUUCCCAAAUAGGCACCUCUGGGAGGUUUGAGAUGGAAGGCUGGGACAAAAUCUUCCUUGCUGGUGGCAACAGGCUGCUAGGGACUCAAUAGCAGUUUCAGUGGGUGAGCCUGUCCCAUGCCAGUCCACCCUGCCAGGUACCUGCCUUCUCUUUAAUUCACGGGAGAUUUUCAAGGGCUUUCCCAGACAGCCUGAAUGGGGAAGGGGCUUCUAGGAGGAGAGAACACUAGAGAGGGCAUGCAAGGACAGGGGCACCUUACCAGAGGGCUGCAGGCUCUCCUGGAUGGCCUCGAUCUCCGACAGCUCCAUGCACACGCCUUGCCCGUGCAUCAGCGUGUGCAGGGGCUUCUCCACCCCCCGGGGCGGGUAGCAGCGCAGGCCCGAGCCGCAGCGAGGGGUAUACACCCCGCAGGGCAUCCCCUUGCCCAGGGCGCAAGUGGCGCAACAGCCGCAGCCCGGCUCCCGCACCAGCUCCUCGCAGCCCACGGGGGGGCGGCAGCGCGCCAGCUUCUCCUCGGAGCAGGACGGGCAGUGGAUGGCUUCGUCGCCCAGGCUCGGCCCGGGCCCGGCGGCCAGCAGCAGCGCGGCCACGAGGCAGAGGGGCAGCAUGACCGAGCUAGGACGGGGCGCGGGCGCGGGCGCGGACGCGGGCGCGGGCGCGGGCGCGGGGCGCGGGAGCGGAGAGGGAGAGGGAGAGCCCGCGCUCAGACUGGCGGCAGGGACACGCGGCGACAGCGCCCGGCGCUCCUGGAGGACUCGACCCGGAGGGCGCGGGGAGACGGGGCGGCCCCGCUGGCGGACAGGGACCGAGCCAGGGAAGUUAGCAAGCGGGCUGGAGGGGAGCGAGCCUGGCCGCCGAGGCGCUGCGCCGCAUCCUCGGCCCGGCCCUGGCGGCGGGCGGCGGGGGGGCAGGGGGCUGAGCGGCUGCCCGGGACCGGCUCCCCCGGACUUUAUACCGGCCCCUGGCCACACCCCCAGCGCCUUCCCAGAGGUGGGGGAGCGGGGGCGCCGGGGGGGAGAGGGAGAGGCGGCCGUUAGGGGGAGGGGGCGCUGUCCUGAGUCGCCGCCGCCGCCGCCGCCGCCGCCGCUAUAACAUCUGAAAGUCCUUUUCUGCCGCAGAAGGAAGCGGCGCAGUUUGGAAGCCGUGGCAGGCGCCGAAAGCGCCUCUGAACCGGAGCCUGGGAGGGGAGGGAAAGGAAGAGGAGACGCCAAGGGGCUGUUCUUUGGCCCCCUCCCCCGACCUUGGAGGAUUCCUUCCCUACCCCGCCGGGGCGGCUGCAGCCCCGCCCCCACCCCACCCCCAAGAACGCGACCUCCUAGCCGGGACUGCUAGUUCGGCGGAUUCAGUCUCCCUGGCCCGAGUCCUUUCCACCCUCCUUCGUGCUUCCAGUCCCAACCACUGGAGACCAAGUCGAGUGAAGUGGGGAAAGGGAAGCAAGCACCUAUCGAGGGACCCAGAAGGGCCUGAUGGCCCUAAGAAGUUAGGUUCUCUUCCCACUUGCCCUUCCAACUCCUUCCCCCAGCCACCCACCCGCGAAGCACGCGCCCUGGCUCCUCAGGGCUCAUCUGGGUCCUGGUCCAUUCUGCCUUCCUGAAAACUGAAUCAACUGAGCUGGAGAAGGAGGUGCCCAGCCUCUUCUUCCUACCUGGAUGUUUGCCUCUACUGCCCGACUCCCUCCCAGAGGAGGAUUGGCUAGGGAGAUUGUCACUCUCAGUGUGCAAACUGUGCAUCGCACAACUCCAGGGGGCACCAUUUCUCUUGUAGUCAUGGUAGGUUUGUGUAGCUGUUAUGACAGUUUUCCAGCAGAUGGCAGUCAAGCAUUUCGAGGUAGGGAUGCCUUUUUCUAAUUCAGCCAGCCGUUGCUAUUUGGGCUAGUAUGUCGGCUGGCUAGGCCCUCUGUGAGAUCCUAUUGGUUGGUACCUGUUUACCCCACUCUUGCCUCAGUCCUGCUGGGAUCCAGAGGGACCCUAGAGUAACAUUUGAGCAGGGAUCCAUCUCCUAGGAUCUCUCUCUGGUCCCCCAGGUACUCAUCAUCCUUCCCCACAAAGGUUUCUCUGUCCUGGAGCUGGUUUCAGGGUAAGAGUGCCUGUCAGGGCACAAUCCGUGACCCACUGUGGAUUUUUUUUUUUUUUUCUUUUGGCUUGACUUGGCUUGGCUUGGCUUGGCUUAGCCUAGAAAGCAGCAAGGCAGCCAAGCAAAAGUGCAGAUCAGAGACCGUUUUCCUCCUUCCAGCUUCCUCUCCCAGGGCAGCAGUCUUUCAGUCUCACAGUAAUUAGGCCCUUUCCUACUUUCUCCAAGUGUAGACUUGUCCAGGUGAGAGGAGGAAGAGCAGAGCAGCUAGCUGAACUUGUAGGGACAGAAUCAAAAAGUUGCAAACUGACGGCACCUACUGGCAAUCAUCGAGACUGCAGAAGGUCUGGAGAGUUCUGACCAGUGACAAGAUUCUGGGAUUCUCUCCCUGCUGUCUCAGAGACGUACUGGGGUCUCUCCAUCUUGGAGUAGGGCAAACAGAGCCAGAACCAGAUUCCUCAUAUCCCUGUGGAAAGCCCAGCCUGUUCCUGAUUCAGAAAACUUCCCCCAGCCCUAUCCCCCUCUAUCAUCACUGAACCCAGUUCUGCCAUCAGCUUAUUGUAUGAACUUGGACGCCGCUCCUUGGAGCUUGAAUGUCCUGAACCAUAAAAUAGAGACAGCAAACCUAGGAGAGCUACAGGUGCUGAGACAUGGAGGAAGGAGUGCCAGGAGAGGUUGGGCUGAAGACAAAGAACCUGGAGCCGGAGCAUGAGUGCAGGAUGACUGCAAGAGAAAAUGAGAUAAUGGAUAAGAAAGGAUUCUGGAACUGGAGAAAUUGGAUGCAGAUGAUGCUCAUUGGUUUUCUUCACCUGAUCGCUGCCCCCUUGAGGACUGAGAGCACCUCCUGGAGUCCCCAGGGGCAGAAACAUGGCCCUCCCCCCCACUCAUCUUUUCCAGCCCAGGGCUCUACCAGAAAAGGAACCUCUGUGGGGCACCAGGCUGGCUCAAUGUGAUCAAGAUGUGACUCUUGAUCUCGGGGUUGGGAGUUCCAGCCCCACGCUGGGUUACUAAAAAAUCAACUUUAAAAAAAAGAAAAAGGGAAAGAAUCUCUACCUCCCCCUGGCACCCUUGUCUGUCCCUAAGCCCCUGGGCACCCAGGACGCCAGGAAGAUGCUCCUGAUGGAGAAGUGAGAAAAGUCUCCACUCCCCAGCCGCUUCUUCCAGCCCACACCCUCGUGGGCUUGUUGCUUAGAGUCUAAUUAGCUCCCUUGUUGAUCCAGUUUUAAACCUCUAUUGGGGGGCAGCCCCGGUGGCACAGCAGUUUGGCGCCGCCUGCAGCCUGGGGUGUGAUCCUGGAGACCUGGGAUGGGGUCCCGCGUCGGGCUUCCUGCGUGGAGCCUGCUUCUCCCUCUGCCUGUGUCUCUGCCUCUCUCUGUGUCUAUGAAUAAAUAAAUAAAAUAUUUUAAAAAAUAAAAAAUAAAUAAACCUCUACUGGGUUCAGUCUGGGCUUCUUAGAGAAUUGAUAGUCCUGCCCUUGUGGGCUUGCCCUAAAAACUCUUGUCUGACAGAGUAGGCAAAAUACACAUAAUAAGGAAAGUUAACACUUAAUGAGCACGGGCCAUAUGCUGGAUGGAUACAGUCCUAAGUGCUUCACUCGUGUACUUCACAACAAUCUCAUGAGGACUAUCCCUGGACUUCCCACUAUGCCUGCAUUGAGUAGGGGGGCUCAACCACCCUCCAUGUCUGCUGAUGCCUGGACCCCAAGUAGAGUAUCCUCCAUAGUGGCUCCAGGUGUGGGCUGAGAAAUGGCACAUCAAUAUAGCUGCCUCCUUGUGCACCAGGGCCCCAUACUUGGAGAGAACAGAUCAGGAGAGAUAGGAUCUCCUUAGAGACCCCACAGUGCAAAGGGAAGUCUGGCUCAGAGGCUAGAGCUGGAUCCUUCCAUCAGGACAUGUGGCACCAGAAAUGAACACCCAGACAGAGGAUGCAGAGAGGAGAGGAGAGCCCAUCUGCAGUUGGGCUGGCUGGGAUCCAGUUUCAUAUCUCCAGUCCAACCAGCUCUGCUACUUGCCAGCUUUGUGGUCACUUCCCCUUCCUUGGCUUCAAUUUUACUAUCUGUAAAUGGGGGGGGGGGGGGGGGACUCAUUGAAUUGUGAACCCCCUUCCAGCUUGGGCAGUCUGGGAAUCUAGAACCUUUGAAAGUUUUCUGCAUGGUCCUAAACCCAUGCCAGCAUGGCUCCCAACACUCCAGAGUUUGCACUGUUUCUAAGCCAAUUGGCACCCAUGGAAUCUCUUUCUCAUUGGCCAAAGCCUGUGUAGGAGACAAGCCAAGUGAAUGAUGUUAGGUCCUCUGAGAGUUCUGUCACUGCCUAGAAAGGUGACAAGGUUCACUCAAGGCCAUACAGCUAGUUAACUAAUAGAGCCAAGACUUUAGCUAAAUAUAUUUACUACCUGCUACAGACUUAUGCCCUGAGCCAUGCUGCCUCUGCUGCCAGAGCAUUACCAGUGAGCAAUGAGCUAAGGGCUCAAGGAAGGUGGGGGUGGGAGAAGGAAGUACACCCUGGGAGAAUCUAUGCAGAUGACACUUGCAAAAGUACAGAUGCAGAGGGGAGUCUGGGAGGAGAGUGACAAAUGUUAGGAAGGGGAAAUUAUUUGCCCUGCCUCCCCUAACAGUUGUUGAGUCCAAGAGCAGGGUACCUGCUUGCCAGGAUACCUCUUGGCCUGAUAGAUAAAAAGCCCAGAAUCAGAGUAGACCCCAUGUUCUUCACCCACAUUCCCUGGAGGACCUCUAGGGCCUGUCUCCUACUCCCCCAACCCUGGAGAACAGAGUACUACUUACCUUUAGAAAAUUCCAAAGAUAGGACGCCUGGGUGGCUCAGCAGUUGAGUGUCUGCCUUUGGCUCAGGGAGUGAUCCCAGAGUUCCGGGAUCGAGUCCCACGUCAGGCUUCCU